rnacentral:snoRNA from 1 species
CCUGCCUCUAGAAGCAAUGCAAGUAUGAUUGCUGUAUCUCAUGUGUGUCUGCAGGUGGCAGAAAGAGUGACGCUGUGUCUAUGUUCAGUGUUCUGAUUUACAAACACAUGAAUGAUUAGUAGUCUACUGU